UCCUCGGUAGUAUUGUUGUGAGUAUCCCCGCCUGUCACGCAGGAGACCGAGGUUCAAUUCCCCGCCGGGGAG
rnacentral:tRNA from 1 species